UUAGAGGAAGUAAAAGUCGUAACAAGGUUUCCGUAGGUGAACCUGCGGAAGGAUCAUUAUUGAAUGAACUUGACUUGGUUGCUGCUGGCCUUUUCGGAGGCAUGUGCACACCUUGUCAUCUUUAUAUCUCCACCUGUGCACCUUUUGUAGACCUGGUAUCAAUUUUCCGAGGCAACUCGGUCGUGAGGAAUUGCUUUAAUCGGCUUUCCUUGUAAGAUUCCAGGCCUAUGUUUUCAUAUACACCAUAAGAAUGUAACAGAAUGUCAUUAUUAGACUUUAUUGUCUUAUAAACUAUAUACAACUUUCAGCAACGGAUCUCUUGGCUCUCGCAUCGAUGAAGAACGCAGCGAAAUGCGAUAAGUAAUGUGAAUUGCAGAAUUCAGUGAAUCAUCGAAUCUUUGAACGCACCUUGCGCUCCUUGGUAUUCCGAGGAGCAUGCCUGUUUGAGUGUCAUUAAAUUCUCAACCUUUACCUUCUUUUUUAAAGUGAGUAAAUGGCUUGGAUGUGGGGGUUUUGCCGGUUUCUCUUUUGAAAUCAGCUCCCCUGAAAGAUAUUAGCUGGUUGCCUUGUGUAAACCUGUCUAUUGGUGUGAUAAUUAUCUACGCCGUGGAUGGUUUGCCGUUUAUAGCACUGCUUAUAACCGUCUGUUCAUUCAGACAAUUUAUGACAAUUUGACCUCAAAUCAGGUAGGACUACCCGCUGAACUUAAGCAUAUCAAUAA
rnacentral:rRNA from 1 species